CCACCUGCUGCGGGUUACUGCUUGCAUAGCCCAGCUAACAGAAGAGCUUGCAUGAGCACUCACAUCAGUCCGGCUGGCGAGGUCAUCAGCUGUUUUAACCUAACCUAGCUGUGCCUGUCGUGGAUGAGCUCUCAUUACUACUGAUGGCAAACCUUUGGCACAGCUCUUUAAAGUACUCUGGAGUAUAUUGAUGCACUACAUUACAAGGCCCAAUACUUGGAGUUGUCAGUAGAGCACCUGCAUUAACAUCUCUUGACUCUUCACUGUGGAGACGGGAUAAAAAUGGAUGAAUCACACCUGGCCAUCACGCCUCAGGUUGCAGGGAGAAGGCUCCUCCUUUCUGAACACACAGGCAGAAGUUGCUCGAUGCAGGACUGUCCAGAGACUCAGCUAAGUAUGGAAACAGAGGACGCCAGGCUUAGAGAAGAAUGACCUCCAGGGGGAUGAACAAUUUAUUUUACUCGCUGUGAGAGAAAUUAUUUCACCGAGCAAGUUGCUUCCACACAAAAGCUCACUGUAGAAACCACAGUGCCAAAUGCGCAUCCACCAGAUACAUGGACCAGACAUCAUACCACUGACUCUACUGCACUGGGAGCCUGAACUAUAAGUUCCAUCCUCCAAGGAGACUCAGAAGUCCUGAUCAGGAGAGAAUCAGGAAAAAAACAGCUCUGGCUGAUUGCCAGGAUGACAUCUACAAGAAUGGACUGGGAUUUUUCUCAUGAGCUCACUAUCUUUUGCAUUUUUUGGUUAUUUCAGGGUUGCACUCUAUUUUAGUGACACCAUAAUACAUCCAUGGUCAGAAGGCACUGCCAUCAAGGAUAAAAUUUAAGACGAGUGGAAUUCAAUGAGUAUGGCAUAAUCCCCCAGUUAGCUGAAUUCUGUGUUGUAACAGGUCAAGACAAAACCAAAAACUUAAAAUUUUCCCCAAACUGCAAAACUAAUCAUGCAUGGCAUUAAAAUUAUCAUUUUAAUCAAUUUUGGUCUCUGGAAAUGUGAAAUACUAAGCAUAAGAGCAUAAAGAGGGAACUAAGGGGUCAAAACUAGUAGGUCUGACCUCCAUGCUGACCUAGCCAGUAAAAGCUAUUACUAACGGAGAAUUGACUAAAUUCCUAAAAGAACAAACAAACAGACAAGAAAAGGAUAUUUCAUCAGUUUUCAUAACGAUGAAGAAUUGAUGACUCACAGAGUAAUAUUUGAACAGAACACCAUUUUCUCAACCAGCUCAUAACUUCCUUUGCAUGGCAGGAAGACUUGAAAUGGAUCCCAUUGGUUCAGCAUAAUUUAAUUUGAUGUAGUCACUCGCUAGCUUCUAGAAAGAAAACUCUAGCCGAUGCCUGCAGAAACGUGCAGAGCAAGCUACUAGCAAAGCCAGUAACGUACCUGGCAUAACUUGUUAGUUCCCAUGCAAAGAACAUGCUGAAGGUUAGGGUUUUUUUUAUAUAUUUUUUCUUUAAUGUCAUUUAAAAAAAUGUUAGUAAGCUGUUUUGAGUUCUGGAUACUCCCCAAAGCACUAGUGAAUUCAGAGACCACAGAACUACAGAGAUCACUCUCACAGGCUUAAAUGUGCUCUACAGGCAUUCCUUCCACCACUGCACAUUUUUUCUGAGUCUGCAAAGUGAAAGGUUGGAAGUCCCUUUUCCAACAAUGAAAUGCAUGCUUAAGGCCCUCAGCAAAGAUCUGGUUAAAGGAGUUGUGAGUAACGCUGUGUUUAUGACAAAAAUAGUCUAGUAAUGAAAAGAAACAGCACACACACACACCUGUUUGUGUAUAUAUAUAUAUAUAUAUAUAUAUAUAUACACACAAUAUAUACAACAGAUAUAUAUAUAUCUGUUUUUAGAAGUUAAAAAUCACUUAGCAUUGUUCAUUAAUUUUAGAAGGUGGCAUACCCCUAGUUACCUAAAUACUGUCUUGUAUAGAAGAUGGGACAUCAAACGCCAAUACCCAGAACGCUUUAUCAUGCAGAAGUUUUAACCACAGAAUCUCUAUUAACACUUUCAAUUUGAUUCAGAAGACACUUUCCCUGGGGCCACCUUCUUAUUCUUUUUUAACAGAUACUAAGCAAAUCAACACUAGGAAAUUUAUAUUUCAGCAUUAUCUUGCUUGCUUUAUAUGCUGUGGGUUUUUAAAAAAAGGUGCAAUGACAAUAGGAGAUGCAGAGUUUGUAUUUGAAGACUUAAUAAAA
ensembl:lncRNA